CAGGGAAGUCAAUCAGUCUCGGGUUGUGCAGGCUAUAAGGAGCAGGUUCCAAACACCAUCUACAAAGUUCAUAAUCAAGUCAUCGAUUGUAUUCUUAGUUCUUGGAGUUCUCACCAUUCUCUUUCCAACCGAGGAAGGUCCAACCCUUCAGGUUGCUAUAUCACUCAUAGCUACUUUCUAUUUCAUACAUGAUCGACUGAAGAGCAAACUCCAAGCAUUUCUUUAUGGGGCUGGAGCUUUUAUAUUCUCAUGGCUGUUAG
rnacentral:misc_RNA from 1 species